rnacentral:rRNA from 1 species
CAGCAGCCGCGGUAAAACGGAGGGUGCGAGCGUUAAUCGGAAUUACUGGGCGUAAAGCGUACGCAGGCGGUUUGUUAAGUCAGAUGUGAAAUCCCCGAGCUUAACUCGGGAACUGCAUUUGAAACUGGCAGGCUAGAGUCUCGUAGAGGGGGGUAGAAUUCCAGGUGUAGCGGUGAAAUGCGUAGAGAUCUGGAGGAAUACCGGUGGCGAAGGCGGCCCCCUGGACGAAGACUGACGCUCAGGUACGAAAGCGUGGGGAGCAAACAGGAUUAGAUACCCCAGUAGUCCCUGUCUCUUAUAC